ACCUCAGCCCGGGGCUUCUCUGCAGCAGGUGCCGAAGGUGGAGUCGGACCAGCGGCCCUUUUACUCUUCCAGGAAGGAAGGGAUCCUUGCCUGCCCGCCCCCGUCACUCCCACCCUUGCUUUUGGAGAGCAGGUCUCUUCAAAUCCUCAAGAUGUCUUUGGCCCUUGAGUGACUCUCCUCAAGUUACCAGAGCCUUGCUGACAAUAGAUAACUGCUGUCCUGUAUGACCCACAAGACAUUUAAUGAGAGGGAUACCUUGAAGACAAAUAGAUGAAGAUUAGAGAUGGGACCAGUAUGUGUACCCAACUUCACAGACCUUCAGAGAUCUACCCGAAGCCCCAGUGCCUGUUGUCCUUGGCAGUGUGAGUGCAAUGACAGUGAAACAUUUCCUCAUUCACCUCUCGGCCCUUCCUGCUUGUGGCAAAGGUGUCAAGCAGAUUGCUGGGGAUGAAGGCGUAGUAGUUGUGUCUGACCACUGUGCAAGUGUCGCCUUCUGUAGCCAGGGUCACAUCGAGGGCACUGAAGUUGAGAACAGCCCACUUGGGUUUCUUGUAGUUGGCUAGUCACUGAUCCGGAAGCCCAUGAUGAGAUUAUCCAGGGACGACGUGAAUGGCUUCAGUAGCAACGAAUAGGUGAUUCUGUUGUUGAAUCUAACCUCUUGAGCCAGGUGAUAGAUUUCUGGGGAUGGUACCCCAAAAGUGGCAAACGUCUCCCCAAAAAGUCGUGAGGUCCUGGAUGGAACAUAGGCCCAGUUCUGUAGUUGUUUUUGUGACCUCACCUUCCCUGGAACUGAGCUCACCUAUGGGGGGAUCUGCAAUGUUGUGAAUACCUCUUGUUCUUACAGUAAGAGUGAGGUGACCCUGAGGGAGGGGGUGAUUGUUUUAGAGAUAAUUUAAGAAUGCGAGGAGAUUGUAGGAAAUAGAGUAAGAUGAAGAGAUUGGUAAGAUCAGGAAGGUAGCAAGGCGCCUGGGUGGC